AUUGAACGCUGGCGGAAUGCUUAACACAUGCAAGUCGAACGGUAACAGGUCUAGCUUGCUAGAUGCUGACGAGUGGCGGACGGGUGAGUAACGCGUGGGAAUCUGCCUUAAGAUGGGGGGAUAACGAGCCGAAAGGCUCGCUAAUACCGCAUAUGCCGAAAGGUGAAAGGAGUAAUCCGUCUUAAGAUGAGCCCGCGUCCGAUUAGCUAGUUGGUAGGGUAAAGGCCUACAAGGCGACGAUCGGUAGCUGGUACUAGAGAGGAUGAUCAGCCACAAUGGGACUGAGACACGGCCCAUACUCCUACGGGAGGCAGCAGUGGGGAAUUUUACGCAAUGGGGGGAAACCCUGACGUAGCGACACCGCGUGAGCGAAGAAGCCCCUUGGGGUGUAAAGCUCUGUCAGCUGGAACGAAAAAAAAUGACGGUACCAGCAGAGGAAGCAUCGGCUAACUACGUGCCAGCAGCCGCGGU
rnacentral:rRNA from 1 species